GAACGCUGGCGGCAGGCCUAACACAUGCAAGUCGAGCGGUAGCACAGAGAGCUUGCUCUCGGGUGACGAGCGGCGGACGGGUGAGUAAUGUCUGGGAAACUGCCUGAUGGAGGGGGAUAACUACUGGAAACGGUAGCUAAUACCGCAUAACGUCGCAAGACCAAAGUGGGGGACCUUCGGGCCUCAUGCCAUCAGAUGUGCCCAGAUGGGAUUAGCUAGUAGGUGGGGUAAUGGCUCACCUAGGCGACGAUCCCUAGCUGGUCUGAGAGGAUGACCAGCCACACUGGAACUGAGACACGGUCCAGACUCCUACGGGAGGCAGCAGUGGGGAAUAUUGCACAAUGGGCGCAAGCCUGAUGCAGCCAUGCCGCGUGUAUGAAGAAGGCCUUCGGGUUGUAAAGUACUUUCAGCGAGGAGGAAGGCGUUAAGGUUAAUAACCUUGGCGAUUGACGUUACUCGCAGAAGAAGCACCGGCUAACUCCGUGCCAGCAGCCGCGGUAAUACGGAGGGUGCAAGCGUUAAUCGGAAUUACUGGGCGUAAAGCGCACGCAGGCGGUCUGUCAAGUCGGAUGUGAAAUCCCCGGGCUCAACCUGGGAACUGCAUUCGAAACUGGCAGGCUAGAGUCUUGUAGAGGGGGGUAGAAUUCCAGGUGUAGCGGUGAAAUGCGUAGAGAUCUGGAGGAAUACCGGUGGCGAAGGCGGCCCCCUGGACAAAGACUGACGCUCAGGUGCGAAAGCGUGGGGAGCAAACAGGAUUAGAUACCCUGGUAGUCCACGCCGUAAACGAUGUCGACUUGGAGGUUGUGCCCUUGAGGCGUGGCUUCCGGAGCUAACGCGUUAAGUCGACCGCCUGGGGAGUACGGCCGCAAGGUUAAAACUCAAAUGAAUUGACGGGGGCCCGCACAAGCGGUGGAGCAUGUGGUUUAAUUCGAUGCAACGCGAAGAACCUUACCUACUCUUGACAUCCAGAGAACUUAGCAGAGAUGCUUUGGUGCCUUCGGGAACUCUGAGACAGGUGCUGCAUGGCUGUCGUCAGCUCGUGUUGUGAAAUGUUGGGUUAAGUCCCGCAACGAGCGCAACCCUUAUCCUUUGUUGCCAGCGGUCCGGCCGGGAACUCAAAGGAGACUGCCAGUGAUAAACUGGAGGAAGGUGGGGAUGACGUCAAGUCAUCAUGGCCCUUACGAGUAGGGCUACACACGUGCUACAAUGGCAUAUACAAAGAGAAGCGACCUCGCGAGAGCAAGCGGACCUCAUAAAGUAUGUCGUAGUCCGGAUUGGAGUCUGCAACUCGACUCCAUGAAGUCGGAAUCGCUAGUAAUCGUAGAUCAGAAUGCUACGGUGAAUACGUUCCCGGGCCUUGUACACACCGCCCGUCACACCAUGGGAGUGGGUUGCAAAAGAAGUAGGUAGCUUAACCUUCGGGAGGGCGCUUACCA
rnacentral:rRNA from 1 species